GACGAACGCUGGCGGCGUGCUUAACACAUGCAAGUCGAACGGUAAGGCCCUUCGGGGUACACGAGUGGCGAACGGGUGAGUAACACGUGGGUGAUCUGCCCUGCACUUCGGGAUAAGCCUGGGAAACUGGGUCUAAUACCGGAUAGGACCACUGCCUGCAUGGGUGGGGGUGGAAAGCUUUUGUGGUGUGGGAUGGGCCCGCGGCCUAUCAGCUUGUUGGUGGGGUGAUGGCCUACCAAGGAGACGACGGGUAGCCGGCCUGAGAGGGUGACCGGCCACACUGGGACUGAGAUACGGCCCAGACUCCUACGGGAGGCAGCAGUGGGGAAUAUUGCACAAUGGGCGCAAGCCUGAUGCAGCGACGCCGCGAGAGGGAUGACGGCCUUCGGGUUGUAAACCUCUUUCAGCAUCGACGAAGCGCAAGUGACGGUAGGUGCAGAAGAAGGACCGGCCAACUACGUGCCAGCCGCCGCCGUAA
rnacentral:rRNA from 1 species